GAAUGUUCCCCUGGGGUUCCAUCUUGAUGGGUGGUUACCUAUGUGGGGUUCCACUGCUUCUUACCUGAUGCUAUUUCUCUGAGAAGAGAUGAGACUUACCAUCAACUACCUCUAAGCUGUCAUCAUGCAAUGUGACUGCAGCCUUCCAUGGUGGCAGGUUUGGCACAGCAGGGAAAUGGCACCACAAGAUUUCUGCAUAUUCUGUUCCUGUUGGAAUUGUGUUUUGAUACUGGACUUUUGAAAAUAUUGAAC